GUGUCUCAAAAAACGAAAAUAUAAAAUGCAUUUCACCACAGACUACACAAAAACGUGCCCUUGUUUAAUAAGGAUGAAAAAUAAUGACAAUGUUACGCGCUGAACUGUUUGCAACAGUGAUUUCAGCAUUGCUCAUGACGGUUUAAACGACUGUAAAAGGUACGUCCAGGAAGGCUCACAUCCAACCGAACACUGUGACCCCAGAGCUAAGCUGACAUGUACCCAAACACCCUGAUCGCAGAGGCAAGCUGCGGUCUACCCAAACACGCAGACCCCUCAGGUAAGCUCACAGUCACGCAAAUGUCCUAACCCCAGAGGUAGGCUGCCAUCCACCCAAAUGCUCUGAUCUCAGACAAGCUGCUGUCCACCCAAACACACAGGCGCCUCAGGUAAGCUCACAUCCACCCAAAUGCCCUAACCCCAGAGGUAGGCUGCCUUUGACCCAGCCCCCUGACCCCUGAGGUAACCUCGCUUCCACCUAAACACUCUGAUCUCAGAGGCAAGCUGACAUUUGCCCAAACACCCUGAUCACAGAAAUAAGCUGCCAUCCACCUAAACGACCUACCCCCAGAGGUAAGCUGACAUCCAUCUAACUGCCUUGAUCCUAGGCUGCCCCAGUACGUCUAGGUGGUGACAAUCCAUCCUACAGGGUUGACAUGAUGUGCUUUCCUGAAGCACACAAAGGACACCUCGGGUUUUAUGAAAGUGUAUGAUGCUGUUUUAGCCCGACCCUUGUGCAGAGUUUGGAAGUCUGCGGGUAUGUUCCUUUUUGAACUUUUUCUUUUUGUCUUAACUUUUUAUUGGCAUGCAUGUAAGGUAACAUUUUAAUUGUUUUAUUGGCCAUGUAAUUAGAUUUUAAUGGUGUAUAAUUGUAUUUGCUGGUGGAAUUGCUCUUUUGCCUGUGUUAAGGGUAAUAGUUCUGCAGGUAGUUCUAUUUGUUAAAUGUUUGAUAAAUAAAAUUCUUAUUGUACUGGGUUGGCAUUGAUUUGCAUGGUGUUUCAGCCUUUUAGAUUGUGAUUUUGUGUUAAUGUAAGUAGUACAAGCAUAAUAUUAUUUAAAAAUCGGCGGGGUGCAGUC